rnacentral:rRNA from 1 species
GACGAACGCUGGCGGCGUGCUUAACACAUGCAAGUCGAACGGUGAAGCGCCUUCCUUUUUGGUGGGUGUGGAUGAGUGGCGAACGGGUGAGUAACACGUGAGUAACCUGCCCCCUUCUUCUGGAUAACCGCAUGAAAGUGUGGCUAAUACGGGAUAUUCUGGGUCUGUCGCAUGAUGGGUCUGGGAAAGAUAUUGUUUCGGUGGGGGAUGGGCUCGCGGCCUAUCAGCUUGUUGGUGGGGUGAUGGCCUACCAAGGCGGUGACGGGUAGCCGGCCUGGGAGGGUGGACGGUCACACUGGGACGGAGACACGGCCCAGACUCCUACGGGAGGCAGCAGUGGGGAAUAUUGCACAAUGGGCGCAAGCCUGAUGCAGCGACGCCGCGUGAGGGAUGGAGGCCUUCGUGUUGUGAACCUCUUUCGCCAGUGAAGCAGGCCUGCCUCGUUUGUGGGUGGGUUGACGGUAGCUGGAUAAGAAGCGCCGGCUAACUACGUG